UCAAUUGGGAUACCUCUACUUUAUGUUUGCAAUUUAUGUAUUAUGAUCUUGGUAUAGAUUUCAUCAGUAUUUCCCAUACUAUAUAACGAAAAUGACUGAUGUUUUCUAUUGGAAGACAGUACCUACUAUUGUUGCAAAUAUGAAGAAAAGGUUACAGAUUGUAUCCUUCACUUCAAGAUAUGUUGGAAACUAAUAGUUUCUACUCAUUAAAUGACUUGGGUAAGAAAAUGUUGAUGCACUAAGUAUAGAAAUGACACGAGCUUGGAUGUCAGAAGAUGUUUCUUCUAUUCAAAGCCUUUUAGAUCCAUCUUUGUUCAGGCAUGGAGAGCCGAAACAUGAAGAGCCAAACCUCGAGAAUCAAGUCAAAGCAUGUCGUGUCCCAAAGCAAGAGCACAAGCCACUCAAGUAGGGCUACAUCCCGAAGCAUGAAGGGCUCGAGAGUUCAGAUGGAGCAGGCUUACAAAUCGCACAAACAAGACGAGCCACAAAACAAGAGCACAAACCACACAAGUAAGGCGAGCCAAAUCUUGAACACAAUUCACGCGAGCAUGAAGGGCCAAAGCUCAAGAGUUGAGAGGGAGCAUGCUUACAAAUCGAACAAACAAUGUGAGCCCCAAAGCAAAAGCUUAAACCACAUAAGCAAGGCGAGCGGAAGCUUGAAUCCGAAUCAUAAGGAGGAGACUAACAAAGGCGGUGAAUGUGGGAUGUACGAAGGAAUUUUGGAAGCGGUUUUUUCUGCAACUAAUCUUGUCGUAAAAGGUUUGGGAGGAGACUUUAGUGGGGUUUUAGAAAACUUGUUUCAAUGAUUGAUGAAUAAAAAGAGGAUCAAAUGAUCAUUGAUUCUGGGCCUAGCCAACUUAAGUGGUGCUAGCUGUUUUGGCAAAAUUCUAAUCCUGAGGUUAAAUCUUGAUUCUGGUCCUUGUUAAGUUCGUUGGUCAUGUUUUUUUUUUGUGACUAGAGACUUGGUAAUGUUAUUAAAGAUUUGACAUUAUCUUGGUAUAUUAUUAUGAUUAUUGUUUGUUCAAUAAUAGAUACUUUGAAUUUGGUGUCUUUU